rnacentral:rRNA from 1 species
UACGGAGGGUGCAAGCGUUAUCCGGAUUUAUUGGGUUUAAAGGGUCCGUAGGCGGACAGGUAAGUCAGUGGUGAAAUCUCUGAGCUUAACUCAGAAACUGCCAUGGAUACUAUUUGUCUUGAAUAUUGUGGAGGUAAGCGGAAUAUGUCAUGUAGCGGUGAAAUGCUUAGAUAUGACAUAGAACACCAAUUGCGAAGGCAGCUUACUACACAGUUAUUGACGCUGAGGCACGAAAGCGUGGGGAUCAAACAGG